UCCGUAGGUGAACCUGCGGAAGGAUCAUUCA
rnacentral:rRNA from 2 species